rnacentral:rRNA from 1 species
UACAGAGGUGCCGAGCGUUAGGCGGAAUCACUGGGCUUAAAGCGUGUGUAGGCGGAUCGUUAAGUAUCUUGUGAAAUCCCACGGCUCAACCGUGGAACUGCUGGGUAUACUGGCGAUCUUGAGCAGCUUAGGGGCAGACGGAACAAGUGGUGGAGCGGUGAAAUGCGUAGAUAUCACUUGGAACGCCGACGGUGAAACAGUCUGCUGGGAGCUGCUGACGCUGAGACACGGAAAGCCAGGGAGGCGAACGGG